rnacentral:rRNA from 1 species
CCUACGGGAGGCAGCAGUAGGGAAUUUUGCACAAUGGGGGAAACCCUGACGCAGCAACGCCGCGUGAUCGAUGAAGCCCUUCGGUAUGUAAAGAUCUGUCAGUGGGGACGAAACCUACCGGUACCCACAGAGAAAUCACCGGCUAACUCCGUGCCAGCAGCGGCGGUAAUACGGGGGGUGCAAGCGUUGUCCGGAAUUAUUGGGCGUAAAGGGUUCGUAGGUGGCACGUUAAGUCUGGUGUGAAAGGCGGAAGCUCAACUUCCGUAGGGCUGUGGAAACUGGGGAGCUGGAUUGCGGUAGAGGUAAAGGGAAUUCCUGGUGUAGCGGUGAAAUGCGUAGAUAUUAGGAGGAACACCGGUGGCGGAAGCGGUUUACUGGGCCGUAAUUGACAUUGAGGAACGAAAGCGUGGGUAGCAAAUGGGAUUAGAUACCCCUGUAGUC